GACGAACGCUGGCGGCGCGCCUAACACAUGCAAGUCGAACGAGCGAGAGAGAGCUUGCUUUCUUGAGCGAGUGGCGAACGGGUGAGUAACGCGUGAGGAACCUGCCUCAAAGAGGGGGACAACAGUUGGAAACGACUGCUAAUACCGCAUAAGCCCACGGUGCCGCAUGGCACCGAGGGAAAAGGAGCAAUCCGCUUUGAGAUGGCCUCGCGUCCGAUUAGCUAGUUGGUGAGGUAACGGCCCACCAAGGCGACGAUCGGUAGCCGGACUGAGAGGUUGAACGGCCACAUUGGGACUGAGACACGGCCCAGACUCCUACGGGAAGCAGCAGUGGGGAAUAUUGCACAAUGGGGGAAACCCUGAUGCAGCGACGCUGCGUGGAGGAAGAAGGUCUUCGGAUUGUAAACUCCUGUUGUUGGGGAAGAUAAUGACGGUACCCAACAAGGAAGUGACGGCUAACUACGUG
rnacentral:rRNA from 1 species